AAACGUUUUGACAGUCCGUUUGCCAAUAAGCAGUGAUCAAUUUCUUUUGUUUGUUUUUCUAUUGUUUACCUACUAUAUUAGAUGAUGACUUACCUCCAAAACGCUUUAAAACUUUCGUUUAUAAUUCUAAGUGUGUUUAUAAUUAAAGAGCUACAGUGAAAUAAAAUGAAUUCUUCAAGAAAGGCAGCACCCAUGACAAAAGAUGAGACGAUGAUUCUAGCAGAACUUGUGGCGGCAUUUCAAUAAUAAGGCAACAAAUGCCACAAACAAUAAAUUGAAGGAGCAGGCUUGGCAAACCCUUGUAAAUGAUUUUAAUUCGUCGAUUCGUCGUUUCCCACGAACUCCAUCGCAGCUUCGACUAAAAUGGGAAAAUUUAAAGAACGCUACGGCAACAUAAGAAACAACCUUAGUAAGGCUGGAGGUGGUAAGGAUUGCAGAUGAAAUUUUGGAUAAAGCAUGCACAUUGUUGUAGGUCACAUAUAAUAUUUUUAACACUUUUACAGCCAAGCGGAAACAAGAUGGAAGAAAAGAAAUGCAAGGCUAGCAUAGGGACAAUGCAUUAGCAGAAUAUCUAAUAGCAAAAAAGAGACUUGACUUGGAAAAUAAAGAAGAGGAGAUCGUUGUAGCAAAAGUUGUUAGAUUUAGAUAAUUUAAAAAAUUAAAAAUUACUUAAAAGGAAUAUUAAAUUUCAUAAAUUAAGUAGGCAAUAAUAAUUUUAUGUUAGAUAGUUUUUUAAGUAGAUGUACAAAUUCUAAAUUAAAUAUCUUGCAUGUACUAACUACCAUGUAAUUAUCAUUUUGGAAAAUAAAAAAUAGUCAAAUUAUCUUUGGAGUUUAUUUUAUAAAUUAUCUUUGGAAGCAAUUAUUUAUAAGUACAUAGUUGUAUUUCAGAUGUAAGUUUUGAAAAUUUGUUACGAACAAUUAUAUUAUUUUCCUGUAAUGUA